rnacentral:rRNA from 1 species
UACAGAGGGUGCGAGCGUUAAUCGGAGUUACUGGGCGUAAAGGGCGCGUAGGUGGUUGAUUAAGUGAGCUGUGAAAUCCCUGGGCUUAACCUAGGAACUGCAGCUUAUACUGGUUAACUGGAGUACUGUAGAGGGUAGUGGAAUUUCCGGUGUAGCGGUGAAAUGCGUAGAGAUCGGAAGGAACACCAGUGGCGAAGGCGGCUACCUGGACAGAUACUGACACUGAAGCGCGAGAGCGUGGGGAGCAAACAGG